CGGGUGCGAGUAAAGUGGCGGACGGGUGAGUAACGCGUGGGAAUCUGCCUAGUAGUGGGGGAUAACAAUCGGAAACGGUUGCUAAUACCGCAUGUACCCUACGGGGGAAAGGCUUCGGCCGCUAUUAGAUGAGCCCGCAUUUGAUUAGCUAGUUGGUGAGGUAAAAGCUCACCAAGGCGAUAAUCAGUAGCUGAUUUGAGAGGAUGAUCAGCCACACUGGGACUGAGAUACGGCCCAGACUCC
rnacentral:rRNA from 1 species